GAUGAACGCUGACAGAAUGCUUAACACAUGCAAGUCAACUUGAACUUCGGUUUGGGUGGCGGACGGGUGAGUAACGCGUAAAGAACUUGCCUCACAGCUAGGGACAACAUUUGGAAACGAAUGCUAAUACCUGAUAUUAUGAUUAUAUGGCAUCGUAUAAUUAUGAAAGCUAUAUGCGCUGUGAGAGAGCUUUGCGUCCCAUUAGCUAGUUGGAGAGGUAACAGCUCACCAAGGCGAUGAUGGGUAGCCGGCCUGAGAGGGUGAUCGGCCACAAGGGGACUGGGACACGGCCCUUACUCCUACGGGAGGCAGCAGUGGGGAAUAUUGGACAAUGGACCGAGAGUCUGAUCCAGCAAUUCUGUGUGCACGAUGAAGUUUUUCGGAAUGUAAAGUGCUUUCAGUCGGGAAGAAAAAAAUGACGGUACCAACAGAAGAAGUGACGGCUAAAUACGUG
rnacentral:rRNA from 1 species